CAGUAGCCGCGGGAAUACAGAGGAUGCAAGCGUUAUCCGGAAUUAUUGGGCGUAAAGCGCGCGCAGGCGGAUCGGUCAGUCUGUCUUAAAAGUUCGGGGCUUAACCCCGUGAUGGGAUGGAAACUGCCAAUCUAGAGUAUCGGAGAGGAAAGUGGAAUUCCUAGUGUAGCGGUGAAAUGCGUAGAUAUUAGGAAGAACACCAGUGGCGAAGGCGACUUUCUGGACGAAAACUGACGCUGAGGCGCGAAAGCCAGGGGAGCGAACGGGAUUAGAUACCCCCGUAGUCCCUGUCUCUUAUACA
rnacentral:rRNA from 1 species